CACUUGACGACUUGAAAAAUGACGAAAUCACUGAAAAACGUGAAAAAUGAGAAAUGCACACUGUAGGACCUGGAAUAUGGCAAGAAAACUGAAAAUCACGGAAAAUGAGAAAUACACACUUUAGGAUGUGAAAUAUGGCGAGGAAAACAGAAAAAGGGGAAAAUUUAGAAAUGUCCACUGUAGGACAUGGAAUAUGGCAAGAAAACUGAAAAUCAAGGAAAAUGAGAAACAUCCACUUGACAACUUGAAAAAUGACAAAAUCACUGAAAAACGUGAAAAAUGAGAAAUGCACACUGUAGGACCUGGAAUAUGGCGAGAAAACUGAAAAUCACUGAAAAUGAGAAAUACACACUUUAGGACAUGAAAUAUGGCGAGGAAAACUGAAAAAGGUGGAAAAUUUAGAAAUGUCCACUGUAGGACAUGGAAUAUGGCAAGAAAACUGAAAAUCAUGGAAAAUGAGAAACAUCCACUUGACGACUUGAAAAAUGACGAAAUCACUGAAAAACGUGAAAAAUGAGAAAUGCACACUGUAGGACCUGGAAUAUGGCGAGAAAACUGAAAAUCACUGAAAAUGAGAAAUACACACUUUAGGACAUGAAAUAUGGCGAGGAAAACUGAAAAAGUUGGAAAAUUUAGAAAUGUCCACUGUAGGACAUGGAAUAUGGCAAGAAAACUGAAAAUCAUGGAAAAUGAGAAACAUCCACUUGACGACUUGAAAAAAGACGAAAUCACUGAAAAACCUGAAAAAUGAGAAAUGCACACUGUAGGACCUGGAAUAUGGCGAGAAAACUGAAAAUCACGGAAAAUGAGAAAUACACACUUUAGGACGUGAAAUAUGGCGAGGAAAACUGAAAAAGGUGGAAAAUUUAGAAAUGUCCAUUGUAGGACAUGGAAUAUGGCAAGAAAACUGAAAAUCAUGGAAAAUGAGAAACAUCCACUUGACAACUUGAAAAAUGACGAAAUCACUGAAAAACGUGAAAAAUGAGAAAUGCACACUGUAGGACCUGGAAUAUGGCGAGAAACUGAAAAUCACGGAAAAUGAGAAAUACACACUUUAGGACGUGAAAUAUGGCGAGGAAAACUGAAAAAGGUGGAAAAUUUAGAAAUGUCCACUGUAGGACAUGGAAUAUGGCAAGAAAACUGAAAAUCAUGGAAAAUGAGAAACAUGCAUUUGACCACUUGAAAAAUGACGAAAUCACUGAAAAACGUGAAAAAUGAGAAAUGCACACUGUAGGACCUGGAAUAUGUCGAGAAAACUG
rnacentral:lncRNA from 1 species